GACGAACGCUGGCGGCGUGCUUAACACAUGCAAGUCGAACGGAAAGGCCCUGCUUGCAGGGUGCUCGAGUGGCGAACGGGUGAGUAACACGUGGGUGAUCUGCCCCUUACUUUGGGAUAAGCCUGGGAAACUGGGUCUAAUACUGGAUAGGACCAUGCUGUAGGCGGUGUGGUGGAAAGAUUAGUUUCGGUAAGGGAUGAGCUCGCGGCCUAUCAGCUUGUUGGUGGGGUAAUGGCCUACCAAGGCGUCGACGGGUAGCCGGCCUGAGAGGGUGGACGGCCGCAUUGGGACUGAGAUGCGACCCAGACGCCUACGGGAGGCAGCAGUGGGGAAUAUUGCACAAUGGGCGCAGGCCUGAUGCAGCGACGCCGCGUGGGGGAUGACGGCCGUCGGGUUGUAAACUCCUUUCAGCCAUGACGAAGCCCUUGUGGUGACGGUAGUGGGAGAAGAAGCACCGGCUAACUACGUG
rnacentral:rRNA from 1 species